rnacentral:lncRNA from 1 species
GCCUCAGCCACGCGCCAGGCCUCACACUCAGUGCUUCAGGGACUCACGGACGCCCAGAGCAAGUCCCUGCCUUUGGGGAGCUUGUGGCCAGGGUGGGAGAUGGAACACAAAGAUGAAGACUUAGUUGUAGUGGGCUGGGGACCCUCAGGGACAAGUUCUGUGGAUAUGCCAAGGUGGGAUAGGGCCGAGGACUGUGGAUGGAGAGGUGGUCAGGAAGGCCUUCCUGGAAGAGGUGGGGAAGGGACCACAACUCUGGAAGGAGCGAGCUGUCCUUUGUGUACAUGCCUGCUGCUCUCAUCUCACCCCUUCCUCAGAGCCCAGUCUUGAAAAUGCCCCCUCAAGCACAAACGAGCGUUACACCUGGGCAGGUAGCGCAGGGCAUGGAGUGCAGCCUCUCCAAGAGUGGCUGCAGGAGCUAUUCUCCGGGGAGCGCAUCUCUGGCUGCCUGGCAGCAGCUCAGAGGCCCGGCCGCAGUUCUGGAUCUCCCUGGGCCUGGCCUCAGCUGCUGUGUCUCACUCAGCUCCUUGCUCUUCCGGCUCCCCCACCCUCCGCACCCACCACUCUCUGCGCUUCAGGAUGGGUACUGCCCCCUCACAACUGUGCUGGUCCUCGGCCUGUGCACUGCUUGCUCUCAGUGAGUCCUUCUCUGCUCUCUGGAUCCUUCUCUCUGUGUUUUGCAUCCAAAAGCCCCAAGAGACAGCAUCUGUUUGGCUGGACAGACACUGGGCCCUGGGCCAUGCUCUGGAGCCAGGCUACUGACAGCUGCCCUGGGUCAGGGCUCCAAGUCUGGUCUCCCCAGCCGUGGCCAGAGUCACAGGUCGCAUGGAGGUGCCAGCCCCGAGUGGGGCAGCACAGCGGCACUGAGAGUCCUGCGUGUGUGGGGGGCUCAUUCUCAGGACCCCUCACAUCCAGGAUCAUUGCGGCGAUCCCAGGCCCCUGGCACCCUCGGGUAGCGUGGCCGCCAGCAGAAACAGAGGUUGACCCGAGCCGUGCCCGCCCGUGCAGGACUCUGCUCCUGGGACACUCUGCACUCGGGCCUCGGAGGGAGCCAGGUGGCCACUGCGCUGACCCGCAAGCUCUCAGCCCCGUCCUCCGACGUGAGCCGGGGAGCCAGGCGCUGCGAGCAGCUUGGUGCUCCCCAAACCUCAAGACGCUUUGGGAACAGAGUUUGUUCUUUUCUGCCCUGCCAAACCGUCUCCUUUGAUUUUGUCAUUGUUCUUUCCAGGGAAAUCUAAUUUUAAAACAAAAAACAUGUUUUCUAACAAACAGAACACAUUCAGGUGCCAAUAAAUAUUUGAUUUGAAAGCAAUUCUUUGCUCCAUUUAAGCUUUGUUUUUAAAGGACAGGACAAAACAUCAUAGCCAGCUGUCC